rnacentral:lncRNA from 1 species
CUCCAAUUAUGGGAAUCUGGAAGUUUGAGCAAAUUCCUUCUGGGCAGUUUCAUUCUUGUAACUGAAUCUGUCAAAGAGUUAGGAGGAAGGUUGGUCAGAGAUCAGGGACAAUCUCAGCAACAUUUAUCCAAGUCAUUAGAAGUUAAAUGGUAAGCAUCUCUGCAAUUCACUGUUAUUUAUUCACUCAGCAGAUAUUUACUGGGUACUGAUGAGCUGUGAUUGGUACUGUAUUCCAAAGUCUAAGAGCUUUUGCAACCCCAGAAUCACACUGAAUUCAAGUUAAAGUUCAGGAGUUACAGCUUCCUGGGGGAACUUCAACUCCUUCUGGAGUUCUGAGUUCAAGUUGGAGGCUGGUGAAGAAUCUGCUGACUGGACCUGAGACCCUGUACUUGGUGAGACUGCCCUUGAAUCACUCCCUUUGAACUGACAUGUGAGUGCCAACGUGAAGGCAGAGAUGCCAAGUGCAAGCUGCCUCCUCCCAACUUUAGAGCUCAAGUGCCAACCACAUACUGUCUGAUUACAUGGCAGGGCACAUGCAGUCAUAUUCAUCUCUCAAGACCUUCAAAGCUGCUUUUAUAUUAUUGCUUCGGUUUCCAUGGCAAUCAACGCCUACAUUUUCAAGGCUCCCCUCUGUGCUGCACGGAAUCCCAAUGUGCUCACAUGGCAAGAGUCCUGAUAUUGUUCUCCUUCAUUACAAUAGUACAUCGUUUGUAUUCCUUAGAAGAUGGUCUUGGGAACUUGUGGCAGAAAAGAAGAGCUGA